GGAUGUGAGGGCGAUCUGGCUGCGACAUCUGUCACGCCAUUGAUCGCCAGGGUUGAUUCGGCUGAUCUGGCUGGCUAGGCGGGUGUCCCCUUCCUCCCUCACCGCUCCAUGUGCGUCCCUCCCGAAGCUGCACGGUCGGUUGAAGAGGACGACCAUCCCCGAUAGAGGAGGACCGUUCUUAGGUCAAGGGUAUACGAGUAGCUGCGCUCCCCUGCUAGAACCUCCAAACAAGCUCCCAAUUACUGACCCCCUCUAAGCCUGCUGAAAUGAUACAUGAUCACAUCUCAAAGCGCUUGGCGCAUGGCAUGUGCUGAAACAUAUCAGCAAAAU
rnacentral:snRNA from 1 species